rnacentral:rRNA from 1 species
UCCUGGCUCAGAUUGAACGCUGGCGGCAUGCCUUACACAUGCAAGUCGAACGGCAGCGCGGGGCAACCUGGCGGCGAGUGGCGAACGGGUGAGUAAUAUAUCGGAACGUACCCUGGAGUGGGGGAUAACGUAGCGAAAGUUACGCUAAUACCGCAUACGAUCUAAGGAUGAAAGUGGGGGAUCGCAAGACCUCAUGCUCCUGGAGCGGCCGAUAUCUGAUUAGCUAGUUGGUGGGGUAAAGGCCUACCAAGGCAUCGAUCAGUAGCUGGUCUGAGAGGACGACCAGCCACACUGGAACUGAGACACGGUCCAGACUCCUACGGGAGGCAGCAGUGGGGAAUUUUGGACAAUGGGCGAAAGCCUGAUCCAGCAAUGCCGCGUGAGUGAAGAAGGCCUUCGGGUUGUAAAGCUCUUUUGUCAGGGAAGAAACGGUGGGUUCUAAUACAGCCUGCUAAUGACGGUACCUGAAGAAUAAGCACCGGCUAACUACGUGCCAGCAGCCGCGGUAAUACGUAGGGUGCAAGCGUUAAUCGGAAUUACUGGGCGUAAAGCGUGCGCAGGCGGUUUUGUAAGUCUGUCGUGAAAUCCCCGGGCUCAACCUGGGAAUGGCGAUGGAGACUGCAAGGCUAGAGUUUGGCAGAGGGGGGUAGAAUUCCACGUGUAGCAGUGAAAUGCGUAGAUAUGUGGAGGAACACCGAUGGCGAAGGCAGCCCCCUGGGUCAAGACUGACGCUCAUGCACGAAAGCGUGGGGAGCAAACAGGAUUAGAUACCCUGGUAGUCCACGCCCUAAACGAUGUCUACUAGUUGUCGGGUCUUAAUUGACUUGGUAACGCAGCUAACGCGUGAA